AGAACGAACGCUGGCGGCAUGCCUAAUACAUGCAAGUCGAACGAAGGCUUCGGCCUUAGUGGCGCACGGGUGCGUAACGCGUGGGAAUCUGCCCCUUGGUUCGGAAUAACAGUUGGAAACGACUGCUAAUACCGGAUGAUGACGAAAGUCCAAAGAUUUGUCGCCAAGGGAUGAGCCCGCGUAGGAUUAGCUAGUUGGUGAGGUAAAGGCUCACCAAGGCGACGAUCCUUAGCUGGUCUGAGAGGAUGAUCAGCCACACUGGGACUGAGACACGGCCCAGACUCCUACGGGAGCAGCAGUAGGGAAUAUUGGACAAUGGGCGAAAGCCUGAUCCAGCAAUGCCG
rnacentral:rRNA from 1 species